rnacentral:misc_RNA from 1 species
UUUCCGUAGGUGAGUAGGGCCUCUCUCACACAAAUUUCUUUAGUCUAGUCUCGCAAUCACGCUUGUCGAUCCUUUGUCUCCAGGGAGGUACCUGCAGUAAUUCUACUGAAGCACUGCGCUGUUUGUUUCGUCCAGAGGAUUUGUCUGGAACUGAUACGACAUAAAAAUCUCUCAUCUGGACGGAAGCGGAAAUUGUGGCUGGCAAUCGAUCCUCAGGCGUGAAUUGCUUAGUUACGAAAUAAAUUUUUGUGUCAUGUUUUUUCUUUGUUCCAUUUGCUAACUGUCCAAUUUAGAUGAACCUACGGAAGGAUCAUUACCGAGUCUCCCUAAGUUUAGGGACCUCCCACCCAAUGUUUAUUGACUUGUUUCUUCGGCGAGACGACUACUUGUAGCCGUCGACUUCUAGUGGACGAGUGCUCGCCGAAGAAUUUUUUACUCUAAUUUUGAAGUUGUCUGAGUUACAAUUAAAAAAGUUAAAACUUUCAACAACGGAUCUCUUGGUUCUGGCAUCGAGAAGAACGCAGC